CUUUAUUAAGUCUCCCAAACAAAGUUUGGAGACUUAUUGUUUUUGCUCAGUUCUUAUUAUUUUUAUUAUUCUUCUUCUUUUUAUGGCACCCUCAACGGAGUUGGGGUGACAUAUUGUUAUUCUACGUUUCUUUUUUUUCUUAUUUUUCUUUUUCUUCUUCCACACAUUUUGUCCGUCGCGUUUCUCAGAAUCCAUUGGAUCAAUGUUGGUGGAACUUUACUAUAAGAAGGACCCCCAUGUAAAGUUGUGCACCUUGGUAUGGAAUGGUAAAAGAUGGCCGCCGUUUCCAUGGAAACAGCAAAAAUGCGAAAAAAAUCAAAGUGUCCCAAACUGAAAGAAACUCCACAGGAAUGGUAACUGGAAUAUGCUGAUUUCCAGUUUGACUUUGGAAUUUUCAAAAUGGCUGCUGUUACCAUGGAAACAGAUAAAAUAUCAAAAAUUCUAACUUUUUCGUUAUAACACUCAGCUGGAUGAAACUUUAUAUAAAUGUUACCCGGUAUGCCAAGAUGUCAAAACAAUAUUUGGAUAAUCCAAAAUGGCCGCCGUUGUCAUGGAAACUGGGGGCAAGUUUUGCAUUGACCCUAUGGAAAAAUGCAUAAAAUCUGCAUUUUCUCAGAGAGUAUUGCACCAAAGUCAAUGAAACAGCACUGAUACAUGUAUAUAACAUGACAUGUGGCAAUGAGAUGUCUGCUUUUAGAAUUUUUGAAUUAUCUACUGUAACAUGAUGGUUGCAGCAAAAAUGUUCAAAAUUUCAAAAAAAAUUAAAGUGCUGCUAAUUGGAUGAAACUUUACAGGAAUGUUAACUGACAUGUGCCGAGUUGCAUUUUGAAGUUGGAAUUUUCAAAAUGGCGGCCGUAACCAUGGUAACAGCAAAAAUGUCAAAA
rnacentral:lncRNA from 1 species